rnacentral:tRNA from 2 species
UGCGGUGUAGGGAAGUGGUCUAUCCCGUCGGGCUCAUAACCCGGAGAUCGCUGGUUCGAAUCCAGCCACCGCAACCA